rnacentral:rRNA from 1 species
GGAUUAGAUACCCUGGUAGUCCACGCCGUAAACGAUGAGUACUAGGUGUAGGGGGUAUCGACUCCCUCUGUGCCGCAGUUAACACAAUAAGUACUCCGCCUGGGAAGUACGGUCGCAAGAUUAAAACUCAAAGGAAUUGACGGGGGCCCGCACAAGCAGCGGAGCAUGUGGUUUAAUUCGAAGCAACGCGAAGAACCUUACCUAGACUUGACAUCUCCUGCAUAGCCGGUAACUCGGCGAAGCCCUUCGGGGCAGGAAGACAGGUGGUGCAUGGUUGUCGUCAGCUCGUGCCG